rnacentral:rRNA from 1 species
GAUCCAGCCAUGCCGCGUGAGUGAAGAAGGCCUUCGGGUUGUAAAGCUCUUUCGGCCGGGAAGAAAUCGUAUGGGUUAAUACCCUGUGCGGAUGACGGUACCGGCAUAAGAAGCACCGGCUAACUACGUGCCAGCAGCCGCGGUAAUACGUAGGGUGCGAGCGUUAAUCGGAAUUACUGGGCGUAAAGCGUGCGCAGGCGGUUUUGUAAGACAGGCGUGAAAUCCCCCGGGCUCAACCUGGGAACUGCGCUUGUGACUGCAAGGCUAGAGUACGGCAGAGGGGGGGUGGAAUUCCACGUGUAGCAGUGAAAUGCGUAGAGAUGUGGAGGAACACCAAUGGCGAAGGCAGCCCCCUGGGUCGAUACUGACGCUCAUGCACGAAAGCGUGGGUAGCAAACAGGAUUAGAUACCCUGGUAGUCCACGCCCUAAACGAUGUCAACUAGGUGUUGGGUGGGUAAAACCAUUUAGUACCGGAGCUAACGCGUGAAGUUGACCGCCUGGGGAGUACGGCCGCAAGGUUAAAACUCAAAGGAAUUGACGGG